GUGUAGUCAGUGCGGACUGAGACCGCCAAAGAUCUGCACUGGAAGGCAACUUCUCCUGGCAGCUCCGGGAGUCUCCUGGAACGUGGAAUCGGCUCCCUGAUGCCAGAGAGAAGUAGGCCGGUAGGGCACAGAGGAGAAGAGCGCAGGGGCGAAGAGAGGAGUGGAGAGGAGGGAGAUGUGUCUCGGUCACAAGGGGAAUCAUGGAUUCAUAUUUCCUCAGCUCCGUCAUCUCCCGAUGUCAAACAGUGAAAUCCGAAACCCACAGAGAGCGAUUUGCCUCUGGAUGUCCAAACAAGACCAGAAAAGCACUUUGUUCUGACGGAAACCUCAUCUCACAUUUUCAUUGUUCGUCCAGUCUCCCUGUUUCCCACACUAACUUGUCAGCAAGCCCCCUGAAGAUCAAACAACACCAUGACACAUCUGCUGCGUAUCAAGAAUAUAAUUACAAUGCAAGACUGUUAAAACAGGAGCUUACAGGAAUAUAAGGCACAUGUUAUGCUUGUUUUUUUUUUUUACAGAGCUGUAAAAAGCUUAUCAGAGCCAAGGAGCUGAGUAAUAAAAAUCAAGAAAGUU